rnacentral:rRNA from 1 species
GACGAACGCUGGCGGCGUGCCUAAUACAUGCAAGUCGAGCGAUGAAGGUUGGUGUUUGCCCCGAUUUGAAGAGCAGCGGACGGGUGAGUAACGCGUGGGGAAUCGGCCUUUGAGGGGGGGACAACGUUAGGAAACGAAUGAUAAUACAGCAUAACAACUUUAAACAUGAGGUUUAAGUUUGAAAGAUGCAAUUGAAUAACUCAAAGAUGAUCACGAGGUGUAUUAGGUAGUUGGGUAGGUAAAGGCCCAACCAGGGGAUGGUACAGAGACGGCCUGGGGGGGUGGUCGGGCACAUUGGGACCGGGACACGGCCCAAACUCCUACGGGAGGCAGCAGUAGGGAAUCUUCGGACAUGGACGAAAGUCUGACCGAGCAACGCCGCGGGGGUGAAGGAGGGUUUCGGAUCGUAAAACUCUGUUGGUAGAGAAGAACGUUGGGUAGAGUGGAAAGCUCAUCAAGUGACGGUAACUACACAGAAAGGGACGGCUAACUACGUG